CCAAUCACAGUUCGUGUCCUUAGGCAGCGCACGAAGAAGCGACCCGGCGGCCACGGCAGGCUAUCGCUUCUCGGCUACCGGGCUAAUAUGAGCCUUUAAAUUGAGAGUUAAGAUAUUAAACCGGAUGCCUCUAUGAUCCAGCUAACCUUACAGCGAGAUAUACAGUGUUCAGUUUGCGCAAGAGGUGAGCCAUGGCUGAACAUAACCCCACACGUCCCCAAAGGAAGAUGUCCACAGCUGGGGAGAGUGUGUACAAGGUUCUAGGCCUGGAGAAAGGAGCGUCAGCUGAGGACAUCAAGAAAGCUUACAGGAAGCUAGCACUGAAGUACCACCCAGACAAGAACCCGGACAACCCGGAGGCAGCGGAGAAGUUCAAGGAAAUUAACAACGCCAACUCUAUCUUAAAUGAUGAGACCAAGAGGAAGAUCUACGAUGAGUAUGGCUCCAUGGGCCUGUACGUGUCAGAGCAGUUUGGAGAGGAGAGCGUUAAAUAUUACUUCCUCAUGUCCAAAUGGUGGUUUAAGGGUCUGGUACUGUGCUGUACUAUGUUCACCUGCUGCUGCUGUUGCUGCUGCUGUUGUUUCUGCUGUGGGAAAUGUAAACCACCUGACGAUGAUGAAAACUACCAGUAUGUCGACCCUGAAGACCUGGAGGCCCAAAUCAAAGCAGAGCAGGAUGGAGGUUACACAGUAAUCAUAAGCCAGCCAACAUCUAAUCUGGGUCCAGAAAGCCCAGAAGGCCAGAGUCAGCCCAUCCCCCUGCCAAUGCCCAUGCCUCCACCUGAGCCCCAGUUGUCGACCUCGGCCAGUCCAGCAGGGGAAGAAAACCCUGGAGAGACCUUACCAGAGUCAAAAUGACUCGUAAGAGCCACCUCGUCUGAUUUAUGUAUCAGGCCGUCGUACAUCCGUCUUGUCUUGAAAGUGACGGUGUGAAUGAGCCUCAGUUAGUGGAAGCAGCCUUUCGAGCCCCUAUUAUGAUCCAGCCACAUUUGACUGCUGCCAGCGACGUAGAGAUCAACCAGCCCAAAGCCACCAGCCAGCCCAGGCAGACACUUCAAUCCUGAUUCCUUCAACCUACCUGAUCUACCCACUGGACAACACCUGCAAGGUGGGCACUUAAAGGCUCUUGGCCCCCUCCAUGGAACUCAAGUUAUGGAGGAGCCUACAUGCAAAUUAACCCACUAGCUUGGCUCUGCAAAAUUUUAGUCCCCUUUCUUGUUCCAGCUUGCCACAUACUAUAUAGCCUAGCCUGGGCUAGAUGUGAUCUUGUUAGCAGUUCAGUCAUUCAGGGCUAGGCUUGGCAACAUGCCUGGGCUCCACUAAUCUGUUCCUGUCAUCCCAUUACAACCAGUAAGGAUGUGACACUGGGCAGGAAGAUUGCAAAAACAGGGGCAUACGAAGGCAAAAAACAUGGUCCUCACAAUUAAUCUGCUAUCCAGACCAGGACAGGAAUGAUUGUUUUUUGUCUCUCUGCCCAACUCUCCCCGUCUACCUCCAUUUUGGACACCGCUGGUCACCAAGAGGACUUUUCUUUUUCACAUUUCUCCCUCUUUAACUUGUUUUGGAGUUGUCUUUCAAAAAUAAAAACAACAAGGCUUUUUGGGUCAAUAACUCCUGCAUGGAACUGGAUGCCAGGUGUGGUGUGUACACAUCAGAAGCAAACAGCACGAUGGUGUGGGUGUGGGGAACCUUUUUUUUAUUUUAUUUUUUUUAUCCCUCUUCUUCCUUCUCCUUCAAUCUUGUUUUUAACAAUCGCAUUCAGUUAAAUGCAUUACCCCCCUCUCUGAUGUCCAUCCUUUAAAUACGCUCUUGCUGCCAAGUGUGGUGACAAAAAAAUAUUCUUUCAAAGGAAGCAGGAGCACUAACGGUCGCUUCACAGAGCAAAGCUCUCAAUCGGGACACAACUACAUUUCACAUGAAUACACCAAUGUGAAGGGGGAGGGAGGAGAGCGAACAGAAGUGACCGUGGAACUGACAUUCACAGAUUUUGUCUUUGAUGUUCAAUGUCUGAGCCAAAACCUGGAGCUGAAGAUUUAGAGCAUGGAUCAGGAGUGAAGCUGAGGCUGCCCUCCCCAGAACAGCAUGUAUUGUUUUUUCCCGGAUGCAUGCCCCCUACUGUACAGCACUGGAAUACAGUACGCAGCCCAAACCACAAAACGUGAAAGAACAGCCUAGCCUAACCAUACAGACGUACAGACUCUGGUUACACACACUAAUGUAGAAACAAACACUGUAGUAUGUCAUCGUGUACCAACAUCUGCUAAAAAUAUACAACCCCCAGCAUAACCUAUUAACUGAAAUGGACAAUGACGGAUGCCACACCGUGGAAACUUUUUAUUUUUAAAUUGAAUCAUGAUUUUUUUCAGAUCAUUGCACUCCUUGUUGUGUUGUAGUCAUCGCACUAUUUGGUAGACCAAAGGCAACAGCUCCAUGUAGCCUGCCAACCAACGAUGACUCUGGUCGAGGCAGACAGUCUCUGAAAAUGCCAUUUGCUCUGUAAGCCACAGUUCCGUUUGUCAAAGUUGUUUGUAUAAUAUGCAUUUGGGUCUAUGCACCUUGUGAAGUGGGUCUGUUGCUAUUUCAUAUGGUUUUGUUUUUUUGCCUCUGUUCAAGUUGAAAAUCUUUUGUUGUACCUCUUAUUUCUAAAACUACAGAAACCAUUAACUUUAAAGCUUGAUAAUCUACAAACUCGGGUCCAGAUUCACUAAGACUGCAUUGUAAGGACAAUCUUCUGAUUUUACUGCACCUCAGUUACCUGACUCCGUUUUCACUUUUCAUUGACUUGACUUGAAAAGAGCACAGAGCAAUCGAUCAACUCUUUACUAGACUUUUCGGGCACUCUUAUUUUACAGGACUAAUCCAUUAAGUCCUGCAUCUUUUCACCAUAAAUCAGCUUAGUCUUGAGUUUCUAAGAAAACUCUUUCACCUGCUCCCUGACAGUGAUGUGCCUUGAACAAUAAUUUGACCUGUGACUGAAAAAACUCUUGAUGCAACAUUUAAAUGUCUCACGUACGUAUGCGAGAGUAUUGUGUUGGUGUCUUGUUUAGCGUGACUUCACUUAUAAAUAAAGUUGGGGGGUGAGACAGGUACAUGGCCAUGACUGGUGAAAAGAGGCGAUUUUCAUUUGUUCUGCACCGUAGCUUUUCUCACUGUAUUUUUGUGAUUUUUCAUCGCUCUGUCAUUUGGUCAUGUAUUAUUGCUCUUUCCUGUGCAAACCUUCAGUGAAUCUGGACCAGUGUUGUUGUUUCACCUGCACCGAACUGUAUGUUUACCACAGCGACCAGAGGUCUUUUGAGAUGAUCCUGACUUUAGCGAAAAACGUUGAUACACUUGGUCUAAAACACAUUUUCACUUUUUUAAGUCCCAUUUUCCUUUCGCUGGACAUGCUCACUCAAGGUUUUAGACCACUCUUUUGUUUGUUUAACAUUUUCCCUUUGGAACUUAGUCAAGAUAGAAAGGAGCAUUUGCCCAUCAAAACAGUUUUGUCUACAUGGUCAAACGUUAAGCUGCAGCUAACAAUCAUUUUAUCCCUUUGUCUGUAUAAUGUCAGAAAAUAGUAAAAAUGGCCAUCACAGUGUCCCAGAAGGAAAGGUGACAUUUUCAAAUGUCUGCUUUUUGGACAGUCUGUUGGACAUAAACAAAGACAUUUAGUUACUAUCGUGUAAGACAGAGAAAAGCAGCGAAUCAUCACAUUUGCUUGAAACAAAGUAGAAUUUUUGCUUGAUAAAUGACUCAAAUGAUUACUCAGUUAAUUUUCUGUUUCUGCUCUUACAUUAGGACACUAGAGGUUCUUGAUUGAGUUACUGCCCCAAUCACAAGAAAGCUGUUGUCAGGAUUUAAGUUGGUGCAGCACUGUGCUGAAUUUUGUGGGGACUGAUCUGUCUGUAUAAAGGGCUAUUAAGAGUGGUGACAGGUUGUGUUAAUCUAAUUAGUUAGCUGCUCAAAUCGUGGCUGUGUUCCAUGUACAUUCAGAAGUCAACCCUGGUGUGGUCCAGCUCAAAAGGAAAAGUGGAUUUGUUUCCCCUCUAACCACUAAAUAUACCGUUCACCCUGCGAACUGUACUGAGUAUUGUUUACUCUAGUUUUCCACUUCUUAACCACACAGGUGCUUUGAUAGAUGUAACACACUUCUUCUGGAACGUGAGGAUUAUUAAUCUUGUAACAUAAUUCUGGUGAGCAUUUGUGCCAGAAUACAUUGUCUGCCACUUUAACAUUACAUAACACAUAAAUCUGCAGGUUUUUUGUUUGUUUGUUUACAUUCAAAGCUUCUCAAAGCUUUUCAAAUGAAGCUUUGAAUGCCUGUCAUCAUAUUUUAUGACGUCAUCACCCUAUUCGAUUGUCAACAAUAUAAACGAAGCUUCGAACUAUUCGGUACUACCCUACAUGGACACCGAAACAUUCUCAUGUCUACCUAACUACAGUAAAAAUGUUAAGCCAAAUCUACCUGGGUUUUUUAAAGGAAUAGUUUAACAUUUUUGGGAAAAAAGCUAGGCUAGCUGUUUUCCCCUGUUUCCAGACGUUGUGCUAAGCUAACCAUCUGCUGGCUGAAGCUUCAUAUUUACUGUACAGACAUGAGUGAUCAAUUUUCUCAUCUAACUCUCAGCAUGAAAGCAUAUUUCCAAAAAUGUUCAACUAUUCCUUUAAACUUAUUUAGACUUAUUUGAGUAGAACAAAACAUUUUUUAAAUGCUUGAAAUGAAAUAAACAUUUGCGAUUGUUUACUUUAGUCAUUUGGAUGUCAAAAGGUUGAUGUGCUGUGGAGAAUGAUUGCCUAGUGCAGAGUACUGUUGCUUGUAGGUGAAUUUUUGCAACUUUUAAAUAAUUUUCUCCCUUUCUGGUGGCAGGGUUGUUUUUCUCCCACAGUAAAUAAACGCCAUAGUGUGUCUGUGUAUGAAGCUGAGGUAGAUGUAAAGUAGGGACACAACACUACAGUUAAACUUUUCUCACAGCUUCUAAAACUCCUCAAUAUUGCCUGGUGAACUGCAAUAAACUAAUUUAGAACUACACUAGAUGUAGGACCAGCAACCAAGGUCUUUGUUUCAUUUUGUGGAUUGCAAAAAGUUCAUAAACCAGCUUAGAUAUCUCCAUCACUUUAUUUUGGCCCUGUCGUUGAUGGAUUACAUAUCAUCUUGUAUUUCUCAGAGGAACUUGACGGUCAUCACUUCAUCUCAAUUUUUUUUUAACCAUCGAAAGCCAAAACCUUUUUUUUUUUUUUUAAGUGUCCCAUAACAUUUCAGGAAUAAUUAUGUUUUGUCUUUCUCCAGAUCUUCUGUAAUCAAAUCACUUAAGUGUAAAAGCGACGAGGUCAUGGAGCACUGAAAGAGAGACAUAUUAUUUAUUAUUUUUGUAAUUGUUGUAAUAACUCAUUAAACAGAAAAAUAACUGACAAAAUUCCUUAUUGUUAAUGGACAUCUUUUAUGAAUUAAUGUCUGUUUUAACAGUGUACAUACAUUUUUAUUUUAUUUUUUAUUGUCACAUAAUUUAAACUUAACAUUUCUAACGGGGGUUCUGGUGGGGGUCAACUUGCGUGUUAAAUGAGCAGCUCAGACUCAAGUUAUUUGUGUUUGUACUUUAAAAUACUGGCUUAAAUGCUCCAUGCUAACCUGUUAGCAUACACUGUGUUUAGCAAUACAAACUACACGCUUAUGUAUGCUAAAACAGUUAGCGUGGAAGUAACGUUCUUCCAGGGACAGACGGAUGAUUUGAUUAUUCUAAUUACUCGGUCGACCAGUGGGACAAUCUGCCAAAAUUGCUCCAUUUCUUUUAAAUGUGAGAAGAAAAUAUUAUAUUGAACUUGGAGUAGAAGAACAUGACAAACACAUUUUAUUAAUGUAGAUAAAGUUUUUUUUGGGGUUGGGGGGGUGUGUCACUCACUGUUGUGGUUCCAUGUAGAUGAUCUGUAAAUGAGUUGUUAUGAAAUUCAACCAAAUAAAAAAGGGGGAUUUUAUAA